CGCAGGGCGCCCGGGGCAGCUGGCCGAGCCCUCGAUGCCUCCCGUCUGACGGAGGCGCCCGGGAAGCGCCGCCCACCUCGGCCCCGCACCCUCGCCGGCCUGCCGGGUCUCCGCCAGCCCUAGCAGACAGAGAGGGGCGCCGGUCCCUAGUCCCCCAGACCUCCAUUCAAGGUCAAAACUUUGCCCAGCUCAGCCUUGCUCGACCCUGGGCAGGGAAGCGCGGACAUCGGCAGAGGGAGCCCGAGGCUCUCCGUGCCCUUCGCGCCGCUCCCCAAGGAUGGAUAACACUAACAUAUAGUCAGUGGGAAAGAAAUCUCAGAAAAUAACUGUUAGUUUGUCACUGUCAUGGGAAAUGGGAAGGAAGAAAAACAGCACUUAUCAAGCAUCUUCUGUGUACAAACUGCCAUUUCAGACUCAGAGCAGUCCUUGAAGGUCAAGAACUGUGGAAUCUUUCAGAUGAUAUUCUGAUACUUCUGGACCAAGAUUGAAUUUGUUCUUCAUGAAAAAUGUCUGGGACCUUUUAUAUGGACGGGGAAUACCAACGUAGAGAUGGUCAAGAAAAUUUGCGCUCCGACCUAAACCAAGCACGUUGUAUGGUAGUUGGAGAGCUAAAUGUGGGAGGAGCCAAGAUGGCCGAAUAGGAAAAGCUCCGGUCUACAGCUCCCAGCGUGAGCAACGCAGAAGACGGGUGAUUUCUGCAUUUCCAUCUGAGGGUGUACUCCAUCUACUUUUAAAAACAAAAAGUUCACUGUAAAACAGCCUCAGGUAGGCCGUUCAGUAGGUAUUCCAGAAGAAGGUAUUGUCAUCAUAGGAGAUGGACAGCUCCAAGGGUGUUUAUUGCCCCUGAAGACUUUCUAGUGGAACAAGAUGUGGAGGUGGAAGACACUGAUGUUGGUGAUCCUGACUCAGUGCAGGCCUAAGCUAAUGUGGGUGUUUGUGUCUUAGUUUUUAACUAAAGGUUUAAAAAGUAAAAAUAAAACA
rnacentral:lncRNA from 1 species